AUCCUAUUGCACUCAGCACUAGGCCCUAGGAAUAGCAGACAAGAAGAGGCUGACUCUGACUUCUGUUUUGAUGUGUCUUAGUAACCAGAAAUGACUGGUAUGAGAAUAUGCAAAUACAGAUGAGCCAUAGAACAAUCAUGUGAGGUUUCCAGAGCCAGUCAAAAGUAAACAUCAGUAGUUUGACACAGACGUCAGAGAAGAAGUGGAUCUUGGGGAGGGACCUGGAACACCUAUUAUUACACAG